AUGUAGUCAAUAUAUAGGUACAUAUAUAUUAUAUAUACACGAAUGCGUGUUUGAAGAAAAUUAUUAAUGAUAGUGUAAAAACGUAUGUUAUAUACCUGCAUUGUCGAUGUGAAAAAGUGUCUAGUUAUAUUGAUUUAAAAAAAAAAAAAUUAGAAAAAAAAUCAAAAAUCUUAAAAAUAAAAUUGAAUAUAACGAUAAAUAUAAAUAAAAUAGUAAUAAUAAUUGAUAGAAAAAUGCGGUACUUGGUGCAGGCGUUACUUAUUAUAGCUGCUGCGUCGACCACGAGAGUUCGAGGACAAGGGAUCCCGCGAACAAUUUCGGAUAGGCGAGGAGG
rnacentral:misc_RNA from 1 species